rnacentral:rRNA from 1 species
GACGAACGCUGGCGGCAUGCCUAAUACAUGCAAGUCGAGCGAACGGAUGAAGUGCUUGCACUUCUGACGUUAGCGGCGAACGGGUGAGUAACACGUAAGGAAUCUACCUAUAAGCGGGGGAUAACAUUCGGAAACAGGUGCUAAUACCGCAUAAUAUCUUCUUCCGCAUGGAAGAAGAUUGAAAGACGGCUCUGCUGUCACUUAUAGAUGACCUUGCGGUGCAUUAGUUAGUUGGUGGGGUAAUGGCCUACCAAAACGAUGAUGCAUAGCCGACCUGAGAGGGUGAUCGGCCACAUUGGGACUGGGACACGUCCCAAACUCCCACGGGAGGCAGCAGUAGGGAAUCUUCCGCAAUGGGCGAAAGCCUGACGGAGCAAUGCCGCGUGAGUGAAGAAGGCCUUCGGGUCGUAAAACUCUGUUAUAAGAGAAGAACAAAUUGUAGAGUAACUGCUACAGUCUUGACGGUAUCUUAUCAGAAAGCCACGGCUAACUACGUGCCAGCCGCCGCCGUAA